UUGUUAUGUCUGAUGCAGAUUUUACAAAUGAAACAUUGUAGGUAUCCAGAUGAGGGAGCUGGUGAAGUGCCCAUAUGCAUAAGCUUCGUGGUAACAUGGGAUUUUACAGACCACUAAUAUUGAGAUGGAUACAUCCCAAAGUCGUUUUGCCACUAAAAGAAACAUGAUGACCGAUGAACAAUAAGCUACUGAAGGACAAAAGCGUGUUGUUGGAAAAAUAAAUCGUCGAUAAAACAUGACGAAUGAGGUGAAGUUGCUACAAAAUAGCGUAGGCGAUAUCAGUAUAGAGCUAGGCAGGCAGGCAGCAAAAUGUGGAAAACAGAAAUCAUGAAAGACUAAGUAAGAUCCAUCUUCAAUGUACGGUCAAUUGGAGAAUGCUUAAUCUAAUCAUAGAUUGCAGAGGAAGAAGAAAUAGGUGAACAUGAUGAACGUCAUUGCGUAACAGGGGGUUUCAUCAAUCUGCAAGGAAUUUUGCCGACUUAAAGAGUUGAAGUUUUGAUGGUAUUGCGGUAUGUCAUACU